GUGCGUCUGGCUUUCCAUGGGUACUGGGGAAUCGAACCCUGGCUGUUAGGUUUUGCAGGUGCUGGGUCUUGGCUGCCAGCCAUGGACCUCCUAUGGUGCAGGGACUAGGCUGGGACUCCACCCGCCUUCCCAGGCCCUGUGUUGCCCAGCAUCACUAGGGGGAGCUGGCAGGCCCAAGUGAUGAGUCACACAACAUCUCCCUGUCCCGGCCCCCCUUCUCUCCCCAGCGGUGAGCUGCAGUCUCCUGCUCUUCCUGCUCAUGAUGGUGACCAUGGCUCCUUCCUGAGAAGUCUUUUCUACAGAAGCCAGGGCUGCUGGGGGAGGGGGGACCCCUGCUCCACUUGCUGCUGCAUUGUGCAAGCCUUUGCCCCGGUCCCCAGGAGCCCUCUGGACCCAAUGAUGCUGAGCCCACAACCCGCUCUGCCCCUUGAGCCUUGCCCACUUCCUCCCUGAAGCCUGCUGCCCUCUGCCAUCUAUCUGUGCCCAGACAACCUGGGUGAGGUCCAUGAAGUCCCAGAUUUUACCGGAAUUAAAAGUGUGCAACAC